CCUACGGGAGGCAGCAGUGGGGAAUAUUGCUCAAUGGGGGAAACCCUGAAGCAGCGACGCCGCGUGAGGGAUGAAGGUUUUCGGUAUGUAAACUCCUUUUAGUAGGGAAGAAAAUGACGGUAUCUGACGAAUAAGCCCCGGCUAACUACGUGCCAGCAGCCGCGGUAAUACGGAGGGUGCAAGCGUUACUCGGAAUCACUGGGCGUAAAGGGAGCGUAGGCGGGAUUGCAAGUCUGGUGUGAAAGUCUAUGUCUUAACCAUAGGACUGCAGUUGAAACUGCUCGUCUAGAGUGUGGGAGAGGUAGGCGGAAUUCGUGGUGUAGCGGUGAAAUGCGUAGAUAUCAAGAGGAACACCGAUUGCGAAGGCGACCUGCUGGA
rnacentral:rRNA from 1 species